CCGUGCCCUAGCUUCCCACACAGCGCCGCGCCUCCUUCAUCCCCGAGCCCCUCCCUCUCACGAACCUUCUCCUCAAAACCCGCCGACUACCAGCUCUGCCGAGUUCUCCUCGUUCCCGUGCCCUAAGCCCGACGCCGCCACCAUCCCUCUCGCGACCUUGUUGUGCCACCCAUCGCCACCGCGCACGAUCGACAGCCGCGACCGCCUCUCGCGCCGACUCCUCUCCGAGCCCGCACGCGAGCACCAAGAUGCCGUCAACUCUCCUUCUCACGCAAGCACCCAAUGUCGCCGACCCUCUCCUUGCACGAGCACCUUAGACGCCACCUCUUCUCUCUGCCCUAGCGUCGACCGGCCGAUCCACUGCCACCUCCGGCCACGAUGAGAGCUAGCCAGCAAGUAUUUUCCCCUAUGUUUGAAUGAGAUUCAUGAGGACGCUGAUUCGAGAUGAGCGUAUUGACGUAGGGCUUUUGAUUCAAUCUUCUUGCUGAGGUAACAGGUAGAUGAGUCAUGGAUGCUUGGAGAGUCCCGGCUGCCAGUCCCACGUCACAUAUGAGGAUAGUUUUCUUUUUGGAUUGUGUUACUGUUUGGGUGACAUGUUAAUUUUGCGUAUUUUGCUUUUGAACGAGUCACUGUGGAUUUUGGAGUUUAGUUUGGUGGUUGCAGGUAUUUUGUUAGUGUCGUUGUUGGUCUUAUGUUCAUAUUGUUUUGUGUUUUCCGCUGCGUUUA